UUCACUCCUUUCAAAACCUUCAAAACAACGAAACUAUCUCCAAUCUCCAGAACUGACACACUGGUUGCGAUUUAAGAGUCUUAAAAUAUGGUUCAAGUCGUGAAUUCAUUUGAACUAUUUCAAUUCAAUACUUCUUCUUUCUUCGGAGUUAUCCCAAAACCAUUCAUUUCCUUUCAACCACAAACUACAAGUUUAAUUAAAAAAUCAUUAGUGACUAAAGCCAAGGCGAAUGCAAGAAAAGAAAGUGCUAAAAUUCGAAACAGGAAGAUGCAGAAAAAGUUUAAUGGUACUGCCACACAUCCAAGGCUUUCAGUAUUUUGCUCAGAUAAGCAAUUGUAUGCAAUGCUUGUAGAUGAUCAAAAUAAAAAGUGCUUAUUCUAUGGAAGCACACUGCAGAAAUUGUUCCGAGAAAAUCCUCCCUGCAGCACUAUUGAAGCUGCUCAACGUGUUGGGGAGGCACUUGUGAAAGCCUGUGUUGAUCUAAACAUAAAUGAAAUAUCAUCCUAUGAUCGCAAUGGCUUUGGUCGUGGAGAAAGGUUAAACGCCUUUGAGAUUGCCAUUUCCAAUUUUGGGUUCUUGCCUAGAUAGAACAAAUGAACAAUUGAAGAAUCUUAUAACUCUAAAGUUUGUACGAAUAGAACAAGAAAAGUUUGUUAUAACCAUUUGAUAUAAAACUCCCAAAGCCUGAGGUGAAGUGAUUGCAUGAAGAAAUGUCCAGGGUCGUUUAAUUGAAGAUGACAAACCAGUUGUUGACUCGCGGGCUGAUGUAAAACUAGCACCAUGCAUGGUCUGUAUAAGUUUAUAACACAUGGGAAUGGAUAUUAUAUCAUGAUUCAAGAAGUCUUUUAGACAGACCUCUUCUUAAGAAGUAUUAUGAGAGAUAAACAAUUGUAGAUGACCAAAACAAGAAAUGUUUAUUCUAUGGAAGAAGACUGUACGAAUCGUUCGGAGAAAAUCCUUCCUGUAGAACAGUUGUAACUUGUAAGUAGUCCACCUCAUUUAAGAGAAAUAUAUAUGAGACAGGGAAAACAGUGUUUGGCUAUGCUUAGGAUUUUUCCCGACAUGAAUCCAGGAUGAUGCUCAACGUGCCGGGGAGGUACUUGUCAAAGCAUGUUUUGAUCUCAACACACGCAAUGACUUUGGUCGCGGAGAAAGUUUAAACGCCUUUUAGAUUGCCAUUUCCAAUUAUGAUUUCUUGCCUAGAUAGGUAAGCAACUGAUAGUGAUGCUCUCUUGUCAAACACAUAUGAAGUAUCCUAUGUAAAAGUCAACCUUAUUGGGACUGGAAGACAUAUAGCAAGUUGCAAUAUUGGUUCAUAGAUCAUUAAAAAUAAGAACUCUGGAAAAUUCAGGCUUCCAACGAUAUUGACUUGAUGAGUUUUGAAAAUGGGAUGGUAUUUCAACAUCAGAUAAUAUCACAAUUAAGUGAAACUUGCAUAAGUUGAAGGAAGGGGAAGACUUGAACAAACCAACAGUUGAAGAAUCUUAUAACUCAUAAAACUUUGUACUGCCAGUAGAAGCAAAGUUUGGAUGCAACCAUUUGAUGAAAUUCCCAAAAUUUGGAAUUCACCUAAUUGGAUGUUGGCUCAAGGUCUGAGACAGACGCAAAACCAGAAACCAUACACAGCCUGUAUAACAUAUGGGCAAUGAACAAAAUACAAAAUUCAAUGGAAUCGUUGCGGAAGUUCUAAGAGAAUUUACAUGAAGAAUAUUUGACUUGAUAUGUAUUAGAAACAAAGAUUGAUCCUUCUAAUUGUUAUGUAAGAAAAACAUUUAUCCUAAAAGAGUGUUAUUUACAUGUUAACAUUUUUCCUUAAGCUGAUAAACUAAUAUCAUCAUGCCCGAUGUUGAAAU